UGUUAAUUUGGUAUAAAUGUGGUCAUUAGUUUAUAUUAUAGAAUCAAAAUGUUCAUACUACUCAAACAUAUGCCAAUAAAGAGUAAAACAAGAGACACUGAACAUUUGAAGUGGUCUCUUAAUUUUUUCCGGAGCUGUAUAACCCAGAGUGUGCUCACACAUAAACAAAGUACUGUUCAAACCUGUGUGAUGCUGGAAGUAAUUAUAUAAUCAUGCCUAAUCAGUGUAUGUAACUAAUGAAUAUAUGGACAUCUAUUAACAUUGGAACACAUGUUAUGUUGUUGUUUAUGCAGGAUCAACUGUAGCUAUUAAGUUGGAGAGUGUCACUACAAGAACAGCAUUGUUGAAGGAUGUUCGGCAGUCCCCACAGCAUCAGACCUUUUCCCUGGAGGCCUUUCACUCGCUUAUCCUCCACUUUGCACCUAAGCACACUGGCUUCUCCUUCCUUGGGAUGUACAGCAGGCUUCUCUUGGCAGCCCUGCAUUACAACCACAAUGGAAGUCGAGAGGUUGCACGAACACAUGACGGCGAGGUUCAAUAUGGAGUUCGUUACCCAAGGUUCCGCAAAGGAGGCUGGGUCGUCCGCCCUGUCAAGGAGAAGCCAUCGUACGCUUAUGCAUCUGCCCUUAUGGAGUCUCUGAUUGAGGCCUACUCCAGGUCACCAAGGAGUCUACAAGAGAGCUCAGCUGACUUGUCCUCCUCUGCACCUGCCCCCCUUUCCACAUCCUUCCAGAUGAUCAGCAAGGAUGAAGCUGUUGGCUUGUAUCUUGCACGACACACACGUUUUAACACAGGAAAUUAGUGUUAAACACUGUUAGGUAUUUCGUACACUAUAUUGUAAAGCCAUAUUUAAUCUCAGAGAUAGAUGUGGGACCAUGGAGUUAUGUGGUAUCUGCAUUUGCAACCAAGAGAAAGACACAUCUAUUGGCACAUGGAUCCAUUCAGGGAAAGAUCCCUCUUUACUUGAACUUCUGGAUUCUUAAAUUAUU